UGGGGAAUCUUGGACAAUGGGCGCAAGCCUGAUCCAGCGGCGCCGCGUGGGUGAUGAAGGCCCUCGGGUUGUAAAGCCCUUUCGCCGGGGACGAUGAUGACGGUACCCGGUAAAGAAGCACCGGCUAACUCCGUGCCAGCAGCCGCGGUAAGACGGAGGGUGCUAGCGUUGUUCGGAAUCACUGGGCGUAAAGGGCGCGUAGGCGGCUUGCCAAGUCGGGCGUGAAAGCCCAGGGCUCAACCCUGGAACGGCGCCCGAAACUGGCAGGCUUGAGGGCGCCGAU
rnacentral:rRNA from 1 species